rnacentral:rRNA from 1 species
GAUGAACGCUGGCGGCGUGCCUAAUACAUGCAAGUCGAGCGAACAGACGAGGAGCUUGCUCCUCUGACGUUAGCGGCGGACGGGUGAGUAACACGUGGAUAACCUACCUAUAAGACUGGGAUAACUUCGGGAAACCGGAGCUAAUACCGGAUAAUAUAUUGAACCGCAUGGUUCAAUAGUGAAAGACGGUUUUGCUGUCACUUAUAGAUGGAUCCGCGCCGCAUUAGCUAGUUGGUAAGGUAACGGCUUACCAAGGCAACGAUGCGUAGCCGACCUGAGAGGGUGAUAGGCCACACUGGAACUGAGACACGGUCCAGACUCCUACGGGAGGCAGCAGUAGGGAAUCUGACGCAAUGGGCGAAAGCCUGACGGAGCAACGCCGCGUGAGUGAUAAAGGUCUUCGGAUCGUAAAACUCUGUUAUUAGGGAAGAACAAAUGUGUAAGUAACUAUGCACGUCUUGACGGUACCUAAUCAGAAAGCCACGGCUAACUACGUG